AGUCAUUAAUUUUCUGGUGGCUCAUUUGGUCAAUCUAAAACAUGAGUUGGGUCUUAAAAGACACAAUUACCUUCUUUCUUGCACAAUACAAAGGUAACAGAACUACAGGAAACUACUCAGACAUGAGCAUGAAGAUAAUGGUAAAUAAAUGACUUCGUACGAGUCAGCAACGCACAAGAGCACGGUACAAAUCUGAAAUCUUGUACAUGACCCCAGAACCACAAUUUGCACAAGUCACAGGAGAUAUGAUAGGAUCUUUUGAAAAAUUACAAAUUUUAAACAUCGAAUACUUUUAUAGCAUCCUGAAACUUGACACACUUUUCGAAAAAUUACCAAACAUGACAUAUGAAGCAACCAAGUUGCGCUGGAAUCAAGCAGGUAUUGGUUCCUCCAGAACUGUGCAAAUUUGAACAGAGAAUUCAGAAGAAUACAUGAUUUAGUAAAGAUGUCUCUGUGUGUGUGCGUGUGUGUGUAUAAGAAUAAGGGAGAAAAGAAUAGUAACCUUUCUUUUGCACAACCACGCUAGCUGAAG
rnacentral:lncRNA from 1 species